CCUACGGGAGGCAGCAGUGGGGAAUAUUGCGCAAUGGGCGAAAGCCUGACGCAGCGACGCCGCGUGAGGGAUGAAGGUCUUCGGAUCGUAAACCUCUGUCAGCAGGGAAGAACGGUCACUGUGCUAAUCAGCAGUGAAUUGACGGUACCUGCAAAGGAAGCACCGGCUAACUCCGUGCCAGCAGCCGCGGUAAUACGGAGGGUGCGAGCGUUAGUCGGAAUUACUGGGCGUAAAGCGCUCGUAGGCGGUAUGUCAAGUCAAGGGUGAAAUCCCCGCGCUCAACGUGGGAACUGCCUUUGAAACUGGCAGACUGGAGUGUGCGAGAGGAUAGUGGAAUUCCAGGUGGAGGAGUGAAAUCCGUAGAUAUCUGGAGGAACAUCAGUGGCGAAGGCGACUAUCUGGCACAUAACUGACGCUGAGGAGCGAAAGCGUGGGUAGCAAACAGGAUUAGAUACCCUUGUAGUC
rnacentral:rRNA from 1 species